rnacentral:tRNA from 3 species
GGGGCUGUAGCUCAGCUGGGAGAGCGCGUCGUUCGCAAUGACGAGGUCAGGGGUUCGAUUCCUCUCAGAUCCACCA